rnacentral:lncRNA from 1 species
GGGGUCACUGCCCCUACAGGUGGGUUAGGUGUGGGAAUGUUUUUAGAAUCAGGACAGCCUGGUGUCCUGUGGGCUCUCUUUAGUCAUCUAGACGAGAAGAGGGGCUUGGAGGGCCAAAGUGAGGCUUCUCCCAGCUCUUGGGGAUGCUGAGCCUAAGCCUUGUGUUUCCAGGCUUGUGCCCUUCCACUCUCGGGUAAGCCACGCAGAAUGGUUUGUUCUGAAACUGUAUAGUUAUUUCUUCUUACAGUUCCCUCCAGUAGCAGCUGAGAGUAACUCGAAUACCCUUGACCCCUCUCGGGGUGAAGGUUAAGACCCCUACCCCCCUGCGCUGGGGAGGCCAUUGUACCACAUGCUGGGCAUCAGUACACACGUGCCUGUGGAGGAAGCAUCCUUUAGGGCACAAACUUCUUUUUUUCCAAAGAGAAAGACGAAUUCCGUCAUUCUGGGCCUGGGGAAUAGGGACCAAGUUUUAUGACUUAAAAAGUGCUUUAAAGCCAGCUGAGGUCUUUAAGAUGACCUAGCGGGAUUUAGGAAAACUCUCCCCAGUUAUAAUCUGAAAUUGUGGUAUAUCCAAAGACAUAGCAUGAGCUGUUCCAAUUCUGAACUGAUUCUGUGUUUGGCCUAGAGCUGUGUGCAGCCAUUGAAGGAACCCCACGCAGGGCUGUGGAUGGUGCAGAUAAGAAACCAUUUUCCCCAAGAAAGAAAGUGUAGGCACCAGGAGAAAGAAAAAAAUGGUGUCCUAGGAAGUAUGAGUCCUUUUUGAUGCCUAGUGAGGGACCCAGGCUUAAAACCCAUCUGAGGAGCCAGUGUUGUAGCAUAGGUCGCAGCUGAGGCUCCCAGUUCCUGGCCUGGGAGUGUCCAUGUGCUGCAGGUGCAUCCCCUAAAGGGGGGAGAACCCAUCCAAGCGUUACUAGCAGAAGGGUAGACCCGUGGCCUGGAUCAGGGAUGGUCACAGCUCUGCUUGGGUUUGCAGAAGGGCAAUGGUCCGUAGUGUUUGUAUCUGGUCGUCUGUCUUAGUAUUUGGAGAGGGUGGGCCUUAGAGCCUGUGCAUAAAAUAAGCCUCAAGAGUCGCCAGGUGUCAGGGCUUCAGCUGUGGACAGAAAAGAGGAUUCCUGGCACCAGAAGCCUUUGUGUGUACGGUUGCUGGACUGUGUGUGAAUCCAGAGCCUCCUGGGAGGUUGGCAGAGAGCAGGGUGUGUGCCCUUCACUGUCAGCCCUUCUGGAAUGCAGUGGUACAAAGAGCAGACCCCUGGGGGUGACAUGCCUGUGUGAGAGAGGAAGAGCAGGGCAGAAUCGGGAAGUUGGGGAAUUUGUGUUCAGCCUCCCCUCUCUCGGUCCACAUGAAGAUUGACUAAUGUGCUUUCCUGUAUUUCAUUCAGUUUGAAUUUCCAGUCUGACCGUGGAAUGAAAAGUCCUCAUGGAAUAAUUUCUGUUCCUGUUAGAAAGCCCUCAGAAAUUAGAAUGUGAGGAGUUCCCUGGUGGCUCAGUGGGUUAAGGAUCCAGCAUUGUCAUUGCUGUGUCUCGGGUUGCUGCUGUGGCUUGGAUUUGAUCCCCGGCCUGAGAACUUUGACUUUUGCUGCAGGCCUGGCCAAAAAAAAAAGAAAAAAAGAGCAGAACUCAAAACCCAACCUUCAAAGUAACUUGGCAUAGUUCUCGUGGAGGUGAGCGUGGAGGGGUCAGACAGCUGGCCAGCUCAGGUAUCCCCCAGCCCCCAGUGGCUAGCAGAGGCCCACCAGGGGUCAGAAAGAUGGCGAGUCCUCAUGGCAUCUCCGAGGACUAGAAACGGGCCCCGGCAUGAGUUUUGUGUGCUCCUCGUGCUUGGUCCUGGCCCUGGCUUCCUCUCCUGCCUGAGCCGGCAUCACACUGCCUUCCAGGUCUCAGCCUCCCCCUCAAACCCCUCUCGAGCCUCCCCCUAUUCUGGAACGUUUCUGGUACAUUCAAGUUUUAUUUCACUUGAUAUUUAACAAUAUUUUGGGAGUUCUCAUUGUGGUUCAGCACAACACUGGAUCCUUAACCCACUGGGCGAGGCCAGGGAGCGAACCCGCAACCUCAUGGUGUCUAGUUGGGUUCAUUAACCACUGAGCCACAACGGGAACUCCAUAAAUAACUUUUUUAUGGGAAAUGUCUUUCUGAAACCAAAAAAAAAAAAAAAAAAAAA